AUUAACUGUGUUUUAUAUUAGGUGAUCAUUAACUGUGUUUUAUAUUAGGUGAUCAUUAACUUUUUUUUCUUCUAGUGGGUGAACUUUGGUCUCGCUUUGUUGUUUUGCAUUUUGCAAGUCCUAGCAUUUGCCUGGUAUGGCUUGUCAUAUAUCCCUUUUUCAGAGAUGCCAUCCUGAAGAUUAUUACGAUGUGUGUAAAGUGAAGACCCCAGGCUGGCCUGUCAGCUUGAAGAAAACAACUGUG